GUGGGGAAUAUUGGACAAUGGGCGAAAGCCUGAUCCAGCCAUGCCGCGUGUGUGAAGAAGGUCUUCGGAUUGUAAAGCACUUUAAGUUGGGAGGAAGGGCAGUAAGUUAAUACCUUGCUGUUUUGACGUUACCGACAGAAUAAGCACCGGCUAACUUCGUGCCAGCAGCCGCGGUAAUACGAAGGGUGCAAGCGUUAAUCGGAAUUACUGGGCGUAAAGCGCGCGUAGGUGGUUUUGUAAGUUGGAGGUGAAAUCCCCGGGCUCAACCUGGGAACUGCCUCCAAAACUGCAGGACUAGAGUACGGUAGAGGGUAGUGGAAUUUCCUGUGUAGCGGUGAAAUGCGUAGAUAUAGGAAGGAACACCAGUGGCGAAGGCGACUACCUGGACUGAUACUGACACUGAGGUGCGAAAGCGUGGGGAGCAAACAGGAUUAGAAACCCUAGUAGUCC
rnacentral:rRNA from 1 species